ensembl:misc_RNA Metazoa_SRP Metazoan signal recognition particle RNA
GCCAGGCAUGGUGGCGCAUGCCUGUAAUCCCAGCUACUCGGGAGGCUGAGGCAGAAGAAUCGCUUGAACUCGGGAGGCUGUGGUUGCAGUGAGCCGAGAUCGCACCACUGCACCCCAGCCUGGGUGACAGAGCCAGACUCUGUCUCAA